AGCGAACGCUGGCGGCAGGCUUAACACAUGCAAGUCGAACGGUCCUUCGGGAUAGUGGCGGACGGGUGAGUAACACGUGGGAACGUACCCUUAGGUUCGGAACAACACAGGGAAACUUGUGCUAAUACCGGAUAAGCCCUUCGGGGGAAAGAUUUAUCGCCUUUGGAGCGGCCCGCGUCUGAUUAGCUUGUUGGUGAGGUAAUGGCUCACCAAGGCUACGAUCAGUAGCUGGUCUGAGAGGAUGGCCAGCCACACUGGGACUGAGACACGGCCCAGACUCCUACGGGAGGCAGCAGUGGGGAAUCUUGCGCAAGGGGCGAAAGCCUGACGCAGCCAUGCCGCGUGGAUGAUGUAGGUCUUAGGAUUGUAAAAUCCUUUCACCGGGGACGUUAAUGACGGUACCCGGGGAAGAAGCCCCGGCUAACUUCGUGCCAGCCGCCGCCGUAA
rnacentral:rRNA from 1 species